CUUUAAACAAUAGAAUGUGUCUGUGAUGGAAGGUGUCUUUAAGAAAUAGAAUGUGUCUGUGAUGGAAGGUGUGGUGUCUUUAAGAAAUAGAAUGUGUCUGUGAUGGAAGGUGUCUUUAAACAAUAGAAUGUGUCUGUGAUGGAAGAUGUGGUGUCUUUAAACAAUAGAAUGUGUCUGUGAUGGAAGGUGUCUUUAAACAAUAGAAUGUGUCUGUGAUGGAAGGUGUCUUUAAACAAUAGAAUGUGUCUGUGAUGGAAGGUGUCUUUAAACAAUAGAAUGUGUCUGUGAUGGAAGGUGUCUUUAAGAAAUAGAAUGUGUCUGUGAUGGAAGAUGUCUUUAAACAAUAGAAUGUGUCUGUGAUGGAAGGUGCUUUUAAACAAUAGAAUGUGUCUGUGAUGGAAGGUGUGGUACCUUUAAACAAUAGAAUGUGUCUGUGAUGGAAGGUGUCUUUAAACAAUAGAAUGUGUCUGUGAUGGAAGGUGUGGUGCCUUUAAACAAUAGAAUGUGUCUGUGAUGGAAGGUGUAUUUAAACAAUAGACUGUGUCUGUGAUGGAAGGUGCCUUUAAACAAUAGACUGUGUCUGUGAUGGAAGGUGUCUUUAAGAAAUAGAAUGUGUCUGUGAUGGAAGGUGUGGUGCCUUUAAACAAUAGAAUGUGUCUGUGAUGGAAGGUGUGUUGCCUUUAAACAAUAGACUGUGUCUGUGAUGGAAGGUGCCUUUAAACAAUAGACUGUCUGUGAUGGAAGGUGUCUUUAAGAAAUAGAAUGUGUCUGUGAUGGAAGGUGUGGUGCCUUUAAACAAUAGAAUGUGUCUGUGAUGGAAGGUGCCUUUAAACAAUAGACUGUGUCUGUGAUGGAAUGUGUCUUUAAGAAAUAGAAUGUGUCUGUGAUGGAAGGUGUGGUGCCUUUAAACAAUAGACUGUGUCUGUGAUGGAAGGUGUCUUUAAGAAAUAGAAUGUGUCUGUGAUGGAAGGUGUGGUGCCUUUAAACAAUAGAAUGUGUCUGUGAUGGAAGGUGUGUUGCCUUUAAACAAUAGACUGUGUCUGUGAUGGAAGGUGUCUUUAAGAAAUAAAAUGUGUCUGUGAUGGAAGGUGUGGUGCCUUUAAACAAUAGAAUGUGUCUGUGAUGGAAGGUGUGUUGCCUUUAAACAAUAGACUGUGUCUGUGAUGGAAGGUGUGUUGCCUUUAAACAAUAGAAUGUGUCUGUGAUGGAAGGUGUCUUUAAACAAUAGAAUGUAUCUGUGAUGGAAGGUGUCUUUAAACAAUAGAAUGUGUCUGUGAUGGAAGGUGUGGUGUCUUUAAACAAUAGAAUGUGUCUGUGAUGGAAGGUGUGGUGCCUUUAACCUGUUAUGGCUGCAUCCCUUUUAAACAAUAGAAUGUGUCUGUGAUGGAAGGUGUGGUGCCUUUAAACAAUAGAAUGUGUCUGUGAUGGAAGGUGUCUUUAAACAAUAGAAUGUGUCUGUGAUGGAAGGUGUGUUGUAUUUAAGAAUAGCUGGGUUGUAGCUGUAUGUUAUUCAGCAUGAAUGUGAUUUUCCCAGUAGCAUCUGGCUCUUGUGUAAGAGACUAGGGUCAGAGGGCACAGACCUUUCUAC
ensembl:lncRNA